UUUAUCAUGCAUAUAUACUACCAGUGAGGCUACUAUGCUAUCGGAAGCACGGAGCCUUCCGUGCUUCCAACUCAUUUUCGAUGUUGCGACUUUCGAAUCGUCGAUCGGCUCCGUUAAACUUGAUCUAGAGUAUUUGAAGUAUCUAGAAAAUAAAUUUUAAGAUUUUUCGAUAUCAUUUGCCUAGUAAACGAAGGCGCUCAAAAUCAACGGCUGAAAAUAAAAAUCUUACAAAACGUAAUAAUAUGACAUUAAAAUUUUAAAUCAAAGAUAUUGAUCUUGUUUUAUAUAGUAUAAAGAAUUUUCUAUCAAAAUUUUACGUGAUUUGAAUAUUUCUACACCGUUAAACUUGCAAACGGCUCACUACGGCCAUUGAAAUUUGUUGAUUUUGAACCCCUUCGAUCACUAAGCAAAUGAUAUCGAAAAAUAAUAAAAUUUAUUUUCUAGGUACUCCAAAUACUCUAGAUCAAGUUUAACGGAACCGAUCAACGAUUCGAAAAUCGCAAUAUCGAAAACAAGCCGGAAGCACGGAAGGCUCCGUGCUUCCGAUAGCAUAGUAGCCUCACUCUAUAUA
rnacentral:lncRNA from 1 species